GUUGGAUUUGUGGCGUGUGCCAUGGCGUCCAUUUAUUUGGUUCUGCCGUGGCCGUGCCAUCCUUGGGUGGAUCUUGUGUGGCAUUAGGUUGUCGUGCAGGGGAUUCCCAUCGUUUACUGUGAAAAAAUUAGAGUGUUCAAAGCAGGCUUAUGCCGUUGAAUAUAUUAGCAUGGAAUAAUAAGAUAGGUCUUUGGUCCUAUUUUGUUGGUUUGCGGGCCGGAGAAAUGAUUAACAGGGACAGUUGGGGGUAUUCGUAUUCCAUUGUCAGAGGUGAAAUUCUUGGAUUUCUGGAAGACGAACUACUGCGAAAGCAUUUACCAAGGAUGUUUUCAUUAAUCAAGAACGAAAGUUAGGGGAUCGAAGAUGAUUAGAUACCAUCGUAGUC
rnacentral:rRNA from 1 species